rnacentral:rRNA from 1 species
CACGUAGGGCGCAAGCGUUAUCCGGAAUUAUUGGGCGUAAAGAGCUCGUAGGCGGUUUGUCGCGUCUGCCGUGAAAGUCCGGGGCUCAACUCCGGAUCUGCGGUGGGUACGGGCAGACUAGAGUGUGGUAGGGGAGACUGGAAUUCCUGGUGUAGCGGUGAAAUGCGCAGAUAUCAGGAGGAACACCGAUGGCGAAGGCAGGUCUCUGGGCCACUACUGACGCUGAGAAGCGAAAGCGUGGGGAGCGAACAGG